rnacentral:rRNA from 1 species
UACGAAGGGGGCUAGCGUUGCUCGGAAUCACUGGGCGUAAAGGGCGCGUAGGCGGCCAUUCAAGUCGGAGGUGAAAGCCCAGGGCUCAACCCUGGAAUUGCCUUCGAUACUGUCUGGCUAGAGACCGGAAGAGGUAAGUGGAACUGCGAGUGUAGAGGUGAAAUUCGUAGAUAUUCGCAAGAACACCAGUGGCGAAGGCGGCUUACUGGUCCGGUUCUGACGCUGAGCCGCGAAAGCCAGGGGAGCGAACGGG